rnacentral:lncRNA from 1 species
ACGUCGACGACUCUCGCUUGUCUGAAGAAUAUUAUGGCCAAGUCCAACUUAUCAUCCUACAAUUACAUGCCUAAUCUGCAACAAAUUGAGACGAUGGUUCAAGCUUACUCUCCUUAUAUUUACUUGCAUCCUGACGAAAAAUACCUUCCGUCUUCUGUAAGCUGGUAUUUUGACAACGGGGCAUUACUAUACAGAAAGGGAGAGGAGUCUAAACCAAUCCCAAUUGAGCCGAUGGGUUCGAAUCUUCCACAAGGAGGCUCCAAUGAUGGUGCCUAUUGGUUGGACCUUCCUGUAAAUGACAAGGCCAAAGAGCGAGUCAAGAAAGGAGACCUACAAAACUCACAGGUUUAUUUACACAUUAAACCCAUGCUGGGAGCAACCUACACUGACAUAGCAAUAUGGAUCUUCUACCCUUUUAAUGGACCUGCGAGAGCUAAAGUUAAGUUUAUUAAUAAUAUCCCAUUGGGAAAGAUAGGUGAACAUGUUGGUGACUGGGAGCAUGUGACAUUAAGGAUCAGCAACUUCAAUGGGGAACUGUGGAGGGUCUUCUUGUCGCAGCAUAGUGGAGGUACUUGGGUGAAUGCAUCAGAGCUUGAGUUUCAAAGUGGCAACAAACCUGUGACCUAUGCGUCCUUAAAUGGUCAUGCCAUGUAUGCAAAGCCUGGACUAGUUUUACAAGGGAGUGGCGGGAUUGGAAUUAGGAAUGAUACAGCCAAGAGCAGGAUGCUGCUGGAUACUGGACGUCAUUUUUCAAUUGUUGCUGCUGACUAUUUAUCGGGCUCUGCCUCCGUUAUCACUGAGCCACCUUGGCUCAACUAUUUUAGAGAGUGGGGUCCCAAAAUUAGUUAUGACAUUUCCCACGAGAUAAAAGAGAUUGAGAAAUUAUUGCCUGGAAAGCUGAAGCCUGCUUUUCAAAAGUUUGUCAACAGUCUACCAAAUGAAGUCUUGGGAGAGGAAGGCCCGACAGGUCCCAAAGCCAAAAGCAAUUGGAAUGGAGAUGAAGUUUAAUCGAAGCUGUCUGUGUGUGUGUAUACAUACAUACAUACAUACAUACAUAUAUAUAUAUAUAUAUUUAUAUCAAAAUUUGUUUAUAAAGGAACUUUUUUUAAAGUGGGAUCAAUUGCCCACACUCCCUUGAAUGUAAAUCCGCCCUUAUAUAUAUUCAGUUAGAUUUCAGUUUGUACACAUAUUGUUCAAUAAUGAUUGAUAUAUGUAUAUAUGUGUUUAUGCAAGCAUGUCGCAGGUGAAGGGUUUGGGAGUGGAACAAUUGAUCUUGGUGGAUUACAAGUGCGUCAAAUAACAUCUUUCAAGAAAAUUUGGGCCACCCAUGAAGGUGGACCAGAUAAUGCUGGCACUACAUUUUUUGAACCAUCAACCAUAGAUAUCCCUCCAGGUUUCUUUAUGCUUGGCUGCUACGCCCAACCCAACAACACCCCUCUUUUCGGAUGGGUUCUUGCUGCUAAAGACAGCAGUGGUUUAAGCUUAAAGAAGCCUGUUGAUUACACUCUUGUUUGGAGCAGCGAGUCUUUGAAGAUCAAGCAAGAUGGGGUCGCCUACGUCUGGCUACCCACACCCCCCGAUGGGUACAAAAACGUUGGUCAUGCCAUUACAAACUUCCCUGAGAAGCCUGCCUUGGAUAAGAUGCGCUGCGUUCGGUCUGACUUCACUGAUCAAUGCCAGACAGACACGUGGAUAUGGGGUGCAAACAAGUAUGGGCUCAAUGUCUUUUCCGUUAGGCCCAGUGUUAGAGGAACCGAAGAAAUGGGUGUUAGUGUAGGCACGUUUGCGGCCCAGAUUAAUGGAAAUGAUAAUAGUCCUACUACGUCGACGACUCUCGCUUGUCUGAAGAAUAUUAUGGCCAAGUCCAACUUAUCAUCCUACAAUUACAUGCCUAAUCUGCAACAAAUUGAGACGAUGGUUCAAGCUUACUCUCCUUAUAUUUACUUGCAUCCUGACGAAAAAUACCUUCCGUCUUCUGUAAGCUGGUAUUUUGACAACGGGGCAUUACUAUACAGAAAGGGAGAGGAGUCUAAACCAAUCCCAAUUGAGCCGAUGGGUUCGAAUCUUCCACAAGGAGGCUCCAAUGAUGGUGCCUAUUGGUUGGACCUUCCUGUAAAUGACAAGGCCAAAGAGCGAGUCAAGAAAGGAGACCUACAAAACUCACAGGUUUAUUUACACAUUAAACCCAUGCUGGGAGCAACCUACACUGACAUAGCAAUAUGGAUCUUCUACCCUUUUAAUGGACCUGCGAGAGCUAAAGUUAAGUUUAUUAAUAAUAUCCCAUUGGGAAAGAUAGGUGAACAUGUUGGUGACUGGGAGCAUGUGACAUUAAGGAUCAGCAACUUCAAUGGGGAACUGUGGAGGGUCUUCUUGUCGCAGCAUAGUGGAGG